rnacentral:rRNA from 1 species
UACGUAGGGUGCAAGCGUUGUCCGGAAUUAUUGGGCGUAAAGAGCUUGUAGGCGGUUUGUCGCGUCUGCUGUGAAAUUUCGGGGCUCAACCCCGAACUUGCAGUGGGUACGGGCAGACUAGAGUGUGGUAGGGGAGACUGGAAUUCCCGGUGUAGUGGUGAAAUGCGUAGAGGUCGGGAGGAACACCCGUGGCGAAGGCAGCUCGCUGGGACGGUACUGACGCUCAGGUGCGAAAGCUAGGGGAGCGAACAGG